CUCCUCCCUCACUGUGUCUUCUCACUUCACAAACACUAUCUUUUCAUUUUGGAUUCAAGCUAUUAUUUACUGCAUUUGACCGGCUUUAUUUAGGGUGGCACGUUUCAGUUAAAGCUAUUUAUGUCUGCCUGUUUGGACAUCUUAAAAGACUGAUGUCAUUUUGAAAGUAAGCUGCAGUUUCCAAGAUCUGCCCACACAGGUUGAUAACAGCAACUGAGCUUGGAUGGAUCAGAUUGCAAACAUGUCCUUUUUUGUUCACUCAUGCAGAUGGUUUGUUCCUAUUUAUUUAAUCUAUCCAAAGGUGAAAGCACAAAAGGAAAAAAACAGUGUGUGUGGACCUAUUCAUUUCCUUCCUCUCCAUCGAUUUCCUAUGAGAAACCUACGCUGCAGAGUAUGCAAUUGGGUAAUUCCUGAGAACAUGGUGUGACAGUUAACCACUUUUCAAUACCACAACUGAACCAGAAGUGCACCAAAAGUCUAUUGUCCUCCUCUUGCUGCACACUACGGAUGAAAAAUAAACAAAUUGCACUUAUAAAAUGAACAAUAAUAGUAACAAAGUAUUAAUGGUGAUUGUUUGCUAAUUUAAAAAUAUAAAAAUGUUAAAAACAAGAA